CCCACGCCAGAGCACCCCCACCCACCCCUAGGCCCCGGCGGCUGUGGGGAGUGGGGAAGAAGUGCAAAUCUUCCCCUUCCUCCUUUCCCCCACCCCCACCUUCCCUGUAAACACGAGGGCUUUCUCGAGAGCCCUGGAGAGUGGCUCUAGUGGCUCGGGGCCUGAAACCCCAGUCUUGGCUUGUUUGAUGUUUAGCAUCCCAAAGCGCUCCCCACCCCUGCCCCAGCCUGGGAGCCCAGCCUGGGAAGCACCCCUCCCAGCUGGCCCGCCGGGGCCUGGGCAGGGCUCCGGGGAGGCGAGAAGAGUCGGAGAAGAGAUGCUCUGGAGAGCUCCAGUGGCCCUGCCCAGGUCUGGCACCCGGGUCUCCAGUUUUGAGGCCCCAGUGAAGACUUCCCAGACUUUAGAGGCCCUGCACCGUUCCAGGGCGCUCACUCGCGGAUGAGUGUGAGGAGCUAGCUCCCCGCGCUAGCCCACAGAAGGUAGCACGAGUCUCUUCUCAGGCGAUCCGAGAUAAGAGGAAAUGAGAACGGGGUCUUCUGACUUCCAACUCAUUAGGGACCAGGGCUGCUUGAGCUUAAAUCACCAGGCGAGUGAUUUAAGAAAGACAGAAAGACAAAUUGCUAAAAGUUUUUUCACACUGGAAAAUUUUGUUGGAUUAGUAACCAAGGACUACUCAUCCAUCAUUUUAGCAUCAGGAAAUCUUGAAAAAAGGUUUGAAACCCUCAAAUCCAGAAUUUCAAUCCAGGCUCCUAGUUUGGCUCUCUCCUUGGAUACAGCCACAUCCUCAAAUGGUCAACACUCAUUCAACAUCCAGUCUAUUUUGUAA
rnacentral:lncRNA from 1 species